rnacentral:tRNA from 1 species
UGUCCCAUGGCUUAGUUGGUUACGGCGUCCGACUGUCAUAAUAUGAGGUUAACAGCAUUUGUGACAUCGGAAGAUCGAGAGUUCGAGUCUCUCUGGGACAG